rnacentral:lncRNA from 1 species
ACAUGGGAAUGGUAAAGGAGGGCAAAGUCUCAAAGUGACGCGCGUGGAAUCAUUUUAUACCGGCCGAGGAGGGAGACCGGGAGCGGGAUGCCACCGAGCGGCAUUAGGGGCACGUCAGUAGGAAAUGUCGAUUAAGACGGGAAAGGCUUGAUUGAAUCACUGCGGGAUUGUAGGUAUUGAUUUCCCGGUCUUAAUUCCAGGAUCAAUGGCUGCUUUGAUGGGUUUUAAUGGGGCGGAGAUUGUGGCCGUGAUGGCUCUGCGUGCGUGCGUGCGUUUCUGGAGAACGAGCAGAGGAGGAAGACGUCCUCAUGCGGGCUGGGCUGGGGAGAAAUGGGCCAGAAGAAGUUCGGCCCAGGAGGAAAAAGGAAGGAAGGAAAUAAGAGUUGGGCUGGGAAGAGAGGAUGGCCCAAGAGGAAAAAAAAGGAAAAAGACAAAGGGAGGGAAUGGGCCGCAGGCCUGGCUGGGCUGCGGCUUCGG